GAUGAACGCUGGCGGCGUGCCUAAUACAUGCAAGUCGAGCGAACGGACGAGAAGCUUGCUUUUCUGAUGUUAGCGGCGGACGGGUGAGUAACACGUGGAUAACCUACCUAUAAGACUGGGAUAACUUCGGGAAACCGGAGCUAAUACCGGAUAAUAUUUUGAACCGCAUGGUUCAAAAGUGAAAGACGCUCUUGCUGUCACUUAUAGAUGGAUCCGCGCUGCAUUAGCUAGUUGGUAAGGUAACGGCUUACCAAGGCAACGAUGCAUAGCCGACCUGAGAGGGUGAUCGGCCACACUGGAACUGAGACACGGUCCAGACUCCUACGGGAGGCAGCAGUAGGGAAUCUUGCGCAAUGGGCGAAAGCCUGACGGAGCAACGCCGCGUGAGUGAUGAAGGUCUUCGGAUCGUAAAACUCUGUUAUUCGGGAAGAACAUAUGUGUAAGUAACUGUGCACAUCUUGACGGUACCUAAUCAGAAAGCCACGGCUAACUACGUG
rnacentral:rRNA from 1 species